rnacentral:rRNA from 1 species
UACGGAGGGCGCUAGCGUUGUUCGGAAUUACUGGGCGUAAAGCGCUCGUAGGCGGCUAUUCAAGUCGGGGGUGAAAGCCCGGGGCUCAACCCCGGAAUUGCCCUCGAAACUAGAUGGCUAGAAUCUUGGAGAGGCGAGUGGAAUUCCGAGUGUAGAGGUGAAAUUCGUAGAUAUUCGGAAGAACACCAGUGGCGAAGGCGACUCGCUGGACAAGUAUUGACGCUGAGGUGCGAAAGCGUGGGGAGCAAACAGG